CACGUUAGGGUAAAUUUUGGCCCUUUUUGGGGUGGGGGAAUAACUCAGGGAAACUUGAGCUAAUACCGCAUAAUGCAGCGGCAUUUAAGUAUGACAGUUGUUAAAGCGGAGGAUCGUAAGACUUCGCGCCUAAAGAGAAGCCUGCGGCAGAUUAGCUAGUUGGUAAGGUAAUGGCUUACCAAGGCGACGAUCUGUAACCGGUCUAAGAGGACGGUCGGUCACACUGACACUGAAUAACGGGUCAG
rnacentral:rRNA from 1 species